rnacentral:tRNA from 1 species
GCGCUGGCGGGCGGCGUCCUGGCUGCGGCGAACGUGGCCGCCGGCGUUGCGUUCGCCGCGGUGCUGGGCGCGUUCGGGCUGCAUCUGGCGCGC